rnacentral:lncRNA from 1 species
GUGGAGUCUAGCUAGAAUGCCAGGAACUUGGGGCUCUGUCUGAGUUACUAAUAGUCACAGAACUAUGGAGUUGGGGGCUCUGUGGUGUCAGGCACCUAUCUCUGGGAACGUGGCUCACUGUUCUAUCCCUUUUAGAGUUUUCUUCUGGGUCUCCAGUGCAAGCUUUUCUCAACCAAAACAGCUGUCUUUCACGGUCCCACAGCAUACCACCUUGCUGGGAUCAAAAAGGGCUCUUCACUUUUGUUUAGGAUUAAGUUAAUUCACCUUGAGACAUUAUUCUUUACAGUGUGGCUCUUGAAAUAUGCUACAUUUACACUGAGUAAGAUCUGUUUUGAGCCAGUCUUUGAAGUCUGACCCUUCUGCAUGCUUACCCAGUAUAUGUGCAUACCAGGAGCUUCUGGUAGGCUCUUGGGAACAGCAACUGUUUUCUCACUGUGUGAGUACCUGCUCUUGGUCUUCUCAUCCUUCUGAAAUCUUUUCCAGCCUCAUGUAGUUUCCUCAUAUGGACAGAGCUUAAUUGUCUACCUGUGUGGGAUACUUUAGUGCUCUCUGGAGCUGUCCUGUUUGCCUCUGUCCUAUGAAUGUGGAGCACACUGGUCUUCUUGAGACUCAGUUCUAGUUGCAGGGCUCCAGUUCUCUGCAGCUUCCACAUGAGUGUCAACUCCUCUCCAAUCAACAUACGGCUGCAGGACUUCAAGGCUAAGGCAGCAAGAAAAGAAAUCCUUUCAUAUUCAAGACCGUCGUGCUGCAGCAUUGUAUGGGCCACGUUUCUGUUGCUGAGACAGAAUGCCUUGACAGAAAGGAACUUAGGAAGAUUUGCGCUCCAAGUUCUCUGAUAGAGGUACAAUCUGCCACCAGUUUUCUUCCAGACUACAGCACUCUAUGAAGCAAGAGAAAACAUACUUUUAAUAAAAUCCAGU